rnacentral:rRNA from 1 species
UAGGGAAUCUUGCGCAAUGGACGAAAGUCUGACGCAGCGACGCCGCGUGAGCGAUGAAGGCCUUCGGGUCGUAAAGCUCUGUGGGGAGAGACGAAUAAGGUAUGGCUAACAUCCAUGCCGAUGACGGUAUCUCCUUAGCAAGCACCGGCUAACUCUGUGCCAGCAGCCGCGGUAAGACAGAGGGUGCAAACGUUGUUCGGAAUUACUGGGCGUAAAGCGCGCGUAGGCAGCAGCGUGUGUCGGGCGUGAAAUCCCACGGCUCAACCGUGGAAGUGCACUCGAAACUGCGCAGCUAGAGUCUCGGGGAGGAAGGCGGAAUGCUUGGUGUAGAGGUGAAAUUCGUAGAUAUCAAGCGGAACACCGGUGGCGAAGGCGGCCUUCUGGACGAUGACUGACGCUGAAGCGCGAAAGCGUGGGGAGCAAA